GCGAUGACAUAGCGAUCGCUCCUCCCCAUGCUGCGGAGGAGAUCGCUGCAUGUAAUAGUAGCAGUCUCCUCCACUAGCGAGCAGGUGAUUGCCAGGAGGGAGCGCUUCCCUAUCGACAAUCGUCUGCCACAUCCGGCUGUGGGAUAUAAAA